rnacentral:rRNA from 1 species
UACGUAGGGUGCAAGCGUUGUCCGGAAUUAUUGGGCGUAAAGAGCUCGUAGGCGGCUUGUCACGUCGACUGUGAAAACCCGGGGCUCAACUCCGGGCCUGCAGUCGAUACGGGCUGGCUUGAGUGCGGUAGGGGAGACUGGAAUUCCUGGUGUAGCGGUGAAAUGCGCAGAUAUCAGGAAGAACACCAAUGGCGAAAGCAGCUCUCUGGGACGGUACUGACGCUGAGACGCGAAAGCGUGGGGAGCGAACAGG